GCAUCUUGGGGGUUGUUCGAAUUGGCUUGUUUCCGGUGGAUGGCUCUUUGCGUAUGCAACAACUUCCACCUGCAUGCCUCUUCAUAUAUACGCUUCAAGGAUAUUUCUCCUUGUGCGGUUAUGGUUUCCUGUGUUGCCUACCUAUCUAUUGGAACUGUGUGGUUAUAAUAGUAUAUGUUUACGUCUUACGUCAAACUUUUGGCGUGGGGUGAACAUCAAAGCAAAUUUUGUGAUCCAUCUUGAUGCUCAUGCAUUAAUAACGUGGCUCGCAUAUAUUUUGCUUGGUCUUGUGGGUACAGAACAUGAUGUGGGCAUGUGUCGAUGUGAUUCUUAGAUUUGCCCUUGAUGAACGUUGUUAUUUAUUUGAGACGACGUCCUAGCCCGAAUUGGCUCGUACCACCGGGUAGGUUUUGUUGUCAAAGAGUAAUGACAUCGUUCUUGCUUCUCUAAAACGAACAGCCUAGCCUGUAGUGGCUCGUACCAGCAGGUAGGCUAUUUCGAAAAGGGAUGCUACCUGGUUGAUCCUGCCAGUAGUCAUAUGCUUGUCUCAA
rnacentral:misc_RNA from 1 species